UAAUUCCUGGAAUGCUCGACAACCUUACCCAUUUUGAACCUACAUUUGUGACUAAGGGAUUCCAAUAUUUGUGGGCGGAUGCCAGGCCUCCGUUGAGUGGAAGGCAGAAGUUCACGUGAGGUUGCCCACCUAGCAUCGCUAGGCGUCAAUAAGUAAGACCGGCAUUUUGGGAUUAC
rnacentral:other from 1 species